rnacentral:rRNA from 1 species
GAUGAACGCUGGCGGCGUGCCUAAUACAUGCAAGUCGAGCGAACGGACGAGAAGCUUGCUUCUCUGAUGUUAGCGGCGGACGGGUGAGAAACACGUGGAUAACCUACAUAUAAGACUGGGAUAACUUCGGGAAACCGGAGCUAAUACCGGAUAAUAUUUUGAACCGCAUGGUUCAAAAGUGAAAGACGGUCUUGCUGUCACUUAUAGAUGGAUCCGCGCUGCAUUAGCUAGUUGGUAAGGUAACGGCUUACCAAGGCAACGAUGCAUAGCCGACCUGAGAGGGUGAUCGGCCACACUGGAACUGAGACACGGUCCAGACUCCUACGGGAGGCAGCAGUAGGGAAUCUUCCGCAAUGGGCGAAAGCCUGACGGAGCAACGCCGCGUGAGUGAUGAAGGUCUUCGGAUCGUAAAACUCUGUUAUUAGGGAAGAACAUAUGUGUAAGUAACUGUGCACAUCUUGACGGUACCUAAUCAGAAAGCCACGGCUAACUACGUG